rnacentral:rRNA from 1 species
UACGGGGGUGGCAAGCGUUGUUCGGAAUUACUGGGCGUAAAGGGCGCGUAGGCGGCAUUACAAGUCAGAUGUGAAAGCCCCGGGCUUAACCUGGGAAUUGCAUCUGAAACUGUAAUGCUUGAGUUCUGGAGGGGGUAGUGGAAUUCCCAGUGUAGCGGUGAAAUGCGUAGAUAUUGGGAGGAACACCUGCGGCGAAGGCGGCUACCUGGACAGUGACUGACGCUGAGGCGCGAAAGCUAGGGGAGCGAACGGG